rnacentral:misc_RNA from 1 species
AAAUGCGAUAAGUAAUGUGAAUUGCAGAAUUCAGUGAAUCAUCGAAUCUUUGAACGCACCUUGCGCUCCUUGGUAUUCCUUGGAGCAUGCCUGUUUGAGUAUCAUGAAAUCUUCAAAGUAAAUCUUUUGUUAACUCAAUUGGUUUCUACUUUGGUAUUGGAGGUCUUUGCAGCUUCACACCUGCUCCUCUUUGUUCAUUAGCUGGAUCUCAGUGUUAUGCUUGGUUCCACUCGGCGUGAUAAGUUAUCUAUCGCUGAGGACACUGUAAAGGGUGGCCAAGGUAAAUGCAGAUGAACCGCUUCUAAUAGUCCAUUGACUUGGACAAUACUUUUAUGAUCUGAUCUCAAAUCAGGUAGGACUACCCGCUGAACUUAAGC